ACACGACUACAUUAGAUACCCCUGUAGUCCUAGCCGUAAACGAUACUCGCUAGGUGUCGGCCACGGUGCGACCGUUGUCGGUGCCGUAGGGAAGCCGUGAAGCGAGCCACCUGGGAAGUACGGCCGCAAGGCUGAAACUUAAAGGAAUUGGCGGGGGAGCACCACGACGGGUGGAGCCUGCGGUUUAAUUGGACUCAACGCCGGGAAGCUCACCGGAUAAGACAGCGGAAUGAUUGCCGGGCUGAAGACCCUGCAUGACCAGCUG
rnacentral:rRNA from 1 species